UACGUAGGGUGCGAGCGUUAAUCGGAAUUACUGGGCGUAAAGCGUGCGCAGGCGGUUGGCAAAGUCAGCUGUGAAAGCCCCGGGCUUAACCUGGGAAUGGCGGUUGAAACUAGUCGACUCGAAUCUGGCAGAGGGGGGUGGAAUUCCACGUGUAGCAGUGAAAUGCGUAGAGAUGACGGAGGAACACCGAUGGCGAAGGCAGCCCCCUGGGGCUGACACGUGACGCCUCGAGGCACGAAAGCGUGGGGAGCAAACAGGA
rnacentral:rRNA from 1 species